CAGAGUUCUCGCCCUCGCGGGUAGAUCUCCCACCCACUGUUAUUGCUACCGUGUUGCUUUGGCGGGCCGUCAGAUUUCGGUCAGGCUACCGGCUCCGGCUGGUAAGCGCCCGCCAGAGAACCCUAAACUCUUGUUUACAGUGUCGUCUGAGUACUACAUAAUAGUUA
rnacentral:misc_RNA from 1 species